GGAGAGGUGCGAGAGCGGUCGAAUCGGCACGACUGGAAAUCGUGUGUGGCGUCAGCCACCGUGGGUUCGAAUCCCACCCUCUCCG
rnacentral:tRNA from 1 species